UCCAAGGUCAGUUUAUCCGUAUCCUUGAGC
rnacentral:piRNA from 1 species